UACGUAGGGUGCAAGCGUUAAUCGGAAUUACUGGGCGUAAAGCGUGCGCAGGCGGUGAUGUAAGACAGAUGUGAAAUCCCCGAGCUCAACCUGGGAACUGCAUUUGUGACUGCAUCGCUGGAGUGCGGCAGAGGGGGAUGGAAUUCCGCGUGUAGCAGUGAAAUGCGUAGAUAUGCGGAGGAACACCGAUGGCGAAGGCAAUCCCCUGGGCCUGCACUGACGCUCAUGCACGAAAGCGUGGGGAGCAAACAGG
rnacentral:rRNA from 1 species